GCCGGGCGUGGUGGCGUGUGCCUGUAGUCCCAGCUACUCAGGAAGCUGAGGCAGAAGAAUUGCUUGAACCUAGGAGUUGGAGGUUGCAGUGAGCCGAGAUUGUGCCACUGCACUCCAGCCUGGGUGACAGAGUGAGACUCUGUCUCAA
ensembl:misc_RNA Metazoa_SRP Metazoan signal recognition particle RNA